rnacentral:rRNA from 1 species
UACGGAGAGGGCUAGCGUUAUUCGGAAUUAUUGGGCGUAAAGAGCGCGUAGGCUGGUUAGUAAGUUAAAAAGUGAAAUCCCGAGGCUCAACCUUGGAAUUGCUUUUAAAACUGCUAAUCUAGAGAUUGAAAGAGGGUAGAGGAAUUCCUAGUGUAGAGGUGAAAUUCGUAAAUAUUAGGAGGAACACCAGUGGCGAAGGCGUCUAUCUGGUUCAAAUCUGACGCUGAGGCGCAAAGGCGUGGGGAGCAAACAGG